GACGAACCGUCCUAACGUUGUUCGGAAUCACUGGGCUUAAAGGCGCGUAGGCGGACCACCAAGUCCGGGGUGAAAUCUUUCGGCUUAACCGGAAAAGUGCCUUGGAUACUGGUGGUCUCGAGUGAGGUAGGGGCAUGUGGAACUUCUGGUGGAGCGGUGAAAUGCGUUGAUAUCAGAAGGAACUCCGGUGGCGAAAGCGGCGUCUCUGGGACGGUACUGACGCUGAGACGCGAAAGCGUGGGGAGCAA
rnacentral:rRNA from 1 species